AGCGUUUCUGGCUUCAGACAUCUUCUGAGGGCCAGUGGGCACCAGGCACACAGUAGGAGCUUGGUAGAUGGCUGAGGAAUGGCAGGAGCUCAGCCCAGUGUUCAGCCCCAGUGGGGCCUGAGAGGGCCCAAGCACGGUAACCACAGGAGGAGCUCCUUCCCUGUACCCCACCACAGGGAGCCGGCUGGGGAACACAAACUUGGUUUUCCAGUUUUUCCCAGAGCCAGCUGCUCUGUACCUGAGAAGUCAGUGCUUCCCGGAUCCCAGUCAGCAUGGGCUUUUCUCCUAGGCCCUGAGCUUACGUCCAGAAACAUUCUCCUGGGGUUUAUCUGCCCCCACAACCAGCCCAGUACUGGAAGCUCUGACUUCCUCAUCAAGGAUCACAAGGGGAAAAUGACCUGUGGGGUAGGGGGAAGAGGCCAGAGCCUUCAUCACUCUGCCUGCCGCUGGCAUCCUGUGGGGGCCUAGCUAGCUGGGGUCACCUCCCUCUUCCCCACACAGAGCUGGCAGGACAGCUGGUUUAUCCUUCUUCAGCCACAGCCUGCAGAAAGCACGUUCCCCUCGGAGCCCCGGGCCACUAGCCAGUCCACUGGGGACAUCCCUCAGAGAGGGGAGGGGAGGGAGAGACAGGGCGGACACCCAGGCUGGCACACUGUGGCCAGCCACCCGGCUCCACUGACUGGCGGUUUCGUGUCUGGCUCCCUGAGGUCCAGAUGGUCCCAACACGUCCCUGGGGGGUAAGCAGACUCCUGCCCAAACUUGAACUCACAGCUCCAGCCCCCAGAGGCUCCGAGCCAGGACCCCAAAGGAGGGAGAGCUGGCCCCAUGGACUGCCUCACCCUGGCUCUCCUGCCCUGUGGCUUCUGGUUGAAUUCAGCCAAUGGGAGGCACCAGCAGAUAAUCUGAAGAUGGGAGGAGAGAGAGGCACCUCCAGCAACCUUGCUAGACCACAGUGCGGAGGAAGUCCCAUGAAGAAAUAAAGAACAUGUGGUGAAUCACAGAGAAGUGGCUGAAAAGAUUCAAGCCUCAACCUUGGUCCUCCCUAGUCACAUGACCACAGGCAAACCUCUUCUCUCUCAGCCUCAGUUUUUGCAUCAGUGCAAUAGGAAUGGUAUCUGCCAUGCUAACCUCACAGGACUGCUGUGUGUUCAGAUGAAUCAGGUAUGUGAAAGACACUUCUGCAAGCGGGAAAGAGGUGUGCAAAGGCAAUUUGCUUUUACAGAACUUAUAUUACUGUCAUUUCCCAUCGUUAUUUUAAUGCUCAAAAGGUUUGGGAGACAUUUCUGUAACUGAGGUGUUCAUGGUAAGCCCACACUCACUCCUGCUUGGAAAAGGUUUUACAUAGACUGAGGAGACCUGAGGCAGUUGCUGAGCUGCUUAGAACAGAGUCUCUGGGUCACAGCCAUCCCAUUACUGGGCAUAUCCCCAAAGGAUUGUAAAUCAUGCUGCUAUAAAGACACAUGCACACGUAUG
rnacentral:lncRNA from 1 species